rnacentral:rRNA from 1 species
UAGGGAAUCUUCGGCAAUGGACGAAAGUCUGACCGAGCAACGCCGCGUGAGUGAAGAAGGUUUUCGGAUCGUAAAACUCUGUUGUUAGAGAAGAACAAGGACGUUAGUAACUGAACGUCCCCUGACGGUAUCUAACCAGAAAGCCACGGCUAACUACGUGCCAGCAGCCGCGGUAAUACGUAGGUGGCAAGCGUUGUCUGGAUUUAUUGGGCGUAAAGCGAGCGCAGGCGGUUUCUUAAGUCUGAUGUGAAAGCCCCCGGCUCAACCGGGGAGGGUCAUUGGAAACUGGGAGACUUGAGUGCAGAAGAGGAGAGUGGAAUUCCAUGUGUAGCGGUGAAAUGCGUAGAUAUAUGGAGGAACACCAGUGGCGAAGGCGGCUCUCUGGUCUGUAACUGACGCUGAGGAUCGAAAGCGUGGGGAGCAAACAGG